rnacentral:tRNA from 1 species
UGCGGGAUGGUGUAAGGGUAGCACAAAUGACUCUGACUCAUUGUGUGAGGGUUCGAAUCCUUCUCCCGCAGCCA